rnacentral:rRNA from 1 species
AACAAACGCUGGCGGCAGGCCUAACACAUGCAAGUCGAGCGGAUGAGUGGAGCUUGCUCCAUGAUUCAGCGGCGGACGGGUGAGUAAUGCCUAGGAAUCUGCCUGGUAGUGGGGGACAACGUUUCGAAAGGAACGCUAAUACCGCAUACGUCCUACGGGAGAAAGUGGGGGAUCUUCGGACAUCACGCUAUCAGAUGAGCCUAGGUCGGAUUAGCUAGUUGGUGAGGUAAAGGCUCACCAAGGCGACGAUCCGUAACUGGUCUGAGAGGAUGAUCAGUCACACUGGAACUGAGACACGGUCCAGACUCCUACGGGAGGCAGCAGUGGGGAAUAUUGGACAAUGGGCGAAAGCCUGAUCCAGCCAUGCCGCGUGUGUGAAGAAGGUCUUCGGAUUGUAAAGCACUUUAAGUUGGGAGGAAGGGCAGUAAGUUAAUACCUUGCUGUUUUGACGUUACCAACAGAAUAAGCACCGGCUAACUUCGUGCCAGCCGCCGCGGUAAGAC